rnacentral:snRNA from 1 species
AUACUCUGGUUUCUCUUCAGAUCGUAUAAAUCUUUCGCCUUUUAUUAAAGAUUUCCAUGGAGAGGAACAUUUAUGAGUUUCUACCCAAUUUUUUGAGGCUUCAUUUCGGUGAAAAA